UGGGGAAUUUUGGACAAUGGGGGCAACCCUGAUCCAGCCAUCCCGCGUGUGCGAUGAAGGCCUUCGGGUUGUAAAGCACUUUUGGCAGGAAAGAAAAGGGCCUGGUUAAUACCUGGGUCAAAUGACGGUACCUGCAGAAUAAGCACCGGCUAACUACGUGCCAGCAGCCGCGGUAAUACGUAGGGUGCAAGCGUUAAUCGGAAUUACUGGGCGUAAAGCGUGCGCAGGCGGUUCGGAAAGAAAGGUGUGAAAUCCCCGGGCUUAACCUGGGAACGGCACUUUUAACUACCGGGCUAGAGUGUGUCAGAGGGGGGUGGAAUUCCGCGUGUAGCAGUGAAAUGCGUAGAGAUGCGGAGGAACACCGAUGGCGAAGGCAGCCCCCUGGGAUAACACUGACGCUCAUGCACGAAAGCGUGGGGAGCAAACA
rnacentral:rRNA from 1 species